UUCCACUCCAUUCUAAUCCACUCCUCUCCACUCCACUCCACUCCAUUCGACUGUACUAUCUUCCAUUCCAUUCCAUUGCAUUCCACUCCACUACAUUCCACUCCACUCCACACUGUUCAAUUACAACCUUCCCUUUCCGUUCCUUUUUAUUACAUUCCACUCCAAUCCACUCCACUCCACUCCAUUCACUUCCAUUCCUCCCUAUUCAAAUCCACUCCAUUCCACUGCACUCCACUCCACUUCACCACAUUCUAUUCGAUUCCAUUCAAUGCCAUUCGAUUCCAUUCUAUUCCAUUCCAUUCCAUUCCAUUCCAUCCACUACCAUUCCAUCCGAUUCCAUUCUGUUUGAUUACACUCCAUUCAAUUACAUUCCAUUCGAUUCCAUUCUGUUCGAGUCCAUUCCAUUCAAGUGCAUUCUAUUCGACUCCAUUCCAUUCGAGGACAUCCCAUUCCAGUUCAUUCCAUUCAAGUCCAUCCAAUUCGUGUCCAUUCCAUUCCAUUCCAUUCUACUCCAUUCCAUUCCACUCCAAUGCAUUCCAUUAAACUCCACACCACUCCACUCCAUUCCAUUCCAUUCUGCUCCAUUCAACUCCAUUCUUCUCCACUCCACUCAACUCCACACCACUCCACUCCACUACAUUCCCCUCCACUCCACUCCCCUCCAUUCCAUUCCAUUCCACUCUAUUCCAUUCUACUCCACUCCACUCCACUCUAUUCCACGCCCCUCCUUUCCAUUCCAUUCGAUUCCACUCCAUUCCACUCCACUCCACUCCACUUGAGUCAUUUCCAUCCCACUCCACUCCAUUCCAUUACACUCCACUCCACGACUCUAUACUCGACUCCAUUCCACUCCACUCCACUCCACUCCAUUAUAUUCCAGUCCUGGGCAUUCCAAUACACUCCUCUCAACUGUACUCCACUACAAUCCAUUG
rnacentral:lncRNA from 10 species